UCCCUGGUGGCUCAGAUGGUAAAGCAUCUGCCUACAGUGCGGGAGACCCAGGUUCGAUCCCUGGGUUGGGAA
rfam:TPA: Bos taurus chromosome X, whole genome shotgun sequence.